rnacentral:rRNA from 1 species
UACCAGCACCCCGAGUGGUCGGGACGAUUAUUGGGCCUAAAGCAUCCGUAGCCGGUCCUACAAGUCUUCCGUUAAAUCCACCUGCUUAACAGAUGGGCUGCGGAAGAUACUAUAGGGCUAGGAGGCGGGAGAGGCAAGCGGUACUCAGUGGGUAGGGGUAAAAUCCUUUGAUCCAUUGAAGACCACCAGUGGCGAAGGCGGCUUGCCAGAACGCGCUCGACGGUGAGGGAUGAAAGCUGGGGGGAGCAAACCGG